AUAAAAAAAGGAAAGAAAGUGAAGGCAAUCAUAUCAUAUCCACGUUGGUUCCCUUCCCUCCCACGAAUAUCAGGCACGCGAGCUCAAUCUCCCACAGGGUGAGCUCGAGGCGGAGUGACGAUGGCGCCCUCCUCGCAUCUCUCGGCUCUCCCGCUGCGAUUCUCCUUCGUCCCCAUUCUCUCUCACAAUCACCAUAACUCGAAGUCGGUUGAGUUUCGCGCGAGGUCCAGCUUGGAAGAAGAUGGCAGCAGCCACAGCCAUGGAGUUUCAGGCUCAUCCCCUUCAGAAGCAGCGAAUUCCAAGGAGUCUCAAUUGUUGACCUCAAGGCGCUGGUGUCUUACCUGUUUAUGUUCGUCUGUGACAUUGAUUAGCAAGUCUGGCUCAUCCAUAGCUCUGCCAAAGGUAACUUCCCCAGAUGCAAAGGAAAGAGCUGUUUGUCGAAACUGCGGGGGCGGUGGUGCUAUAAUCUGUGACAUGUGUGGGGGUACAGGAAAAUGGAAAGCUCUCAACAGAAAACGGGCAAAGGAUGUUUAUGAGUUUACCGAAUGUCCAAAUUGUUACGGCCGAGGGAAACUUGUGUGUCCCGUUUGUUUAGGGACCGGUUUACCCAACAACAAAGGUCUUCUCAGGAGGCCUGAUGCUCGCCAGUUACUUGAUAAGAUGUACAAUGGCCGUCUGCUCCCAAGUUCUUAGGGAAAGUAGAUGUCGAUUGUCAAAAAACAUUUCUUCUCCCUGCAAUUGCAAUUUAGGGGACUGGUGACUCUGACUUGCAGUCUAUGAUUCCAAGUUCCAAAAGAUGGACAAAGAAGAGGCGGUCCGUCUGACAUGGCUAUGAAUGUCCAUUUAUCGGCCGCAGCAGGGAAAUAGCUCUUUUAUCCUUCCCCUCUCAAGUGAUCCUAAGAGUGCUCAAAGCUCCCAUCGGUUCGGUACAGUUCCUUUUCUUCUUACGGCAGAUACUAAAACUCUUCAUCAUCCAGCAAACCAACUAUAUGCAGUUGGGGUCACUCUUUAGAGACGCGUUGAUCGUCUUUUUGGUUGGGUUGCAAUGUGAGAAACACUACAGUUUUGUUGGAUAAUUGUAUGCUGAUGUAUACUUAUAGAGCAGGCAGUGAAUUCUGCAACAUCACAAAAGUUUUGGUGUUCUCCCCAAUUCUUUCUACAA